GACGAACGCUGGCGGCGUGCCUAAUACAUGCAAGUAGAACGCUGAAGGAGGAGCUUGCUUCUCUGGAUGGGUUGCGAACGGGUGAGUAACGCGUAGGUAACCUGCCUGGUAGCGGGGGAUAACUAUUGGAAACGAUAGCUAAUACCGCAUAAUAGCAGUUAUUGCAUGAUAACUGUUUGAAAGGUGCAAUUGCACCACUACCAGAUGGACCUGCGUUGUAUUAGCUAGUUGGUGGGGUAACGGCUCACCAAGGCGACGAUACAUAGCCGACCUGAGAGGGUGAUCGGCCACACUGGGACUGAGACACGGCCCAGACUCCUACGGGAGGCAGCAGUAGGGAAUCUUCGGCAAUGGACGGAAGUCUGACCGAGCAACGCCGCGUGAGUGAAGAAGGUUUUCGGAUCGUAAAGCUCUGUUGUAAGAGAAGAACGAGUGUGAGAGUGGAAAGUUCACACUGUGACGGUAUCUUACCAGAAAGGGACGGCUAACUACGUG
rnacentral:rRNA from 1 species